rnacentral:rRNA from 1 species
CUCGACUACAUGAAGCUGGAAUCGCUAGUAAUCGCAGAUCAGAAUGCUGGCGGUGAAUACGUUCCCGGGUCUUGUACACACCGCCCGUCACACCAUGGGAGCCGGUAAUACCCGAAGUCAGUAGUCCAACCUCGUGAGGACGCUGCCGAAGGUAGGAUUGGCGACUGGGGUGAAGUCGUAACAAGGUACC